GACGAACGCUGGCGGCGUGCUUAACACAUGCAAGUCGAACGGUAAGGCCCUUCGGGGUACACGAGUGGCGAACGGGUGAGUAACACGUGGGUGAUCUGCCCUGCACUUCGGGAUAAGCCUGGGAAACUGGGUCUAAUACCGGAUAGGACCACUGCCUGCAUGGGUGGUGGUGGAAAGCUUUUGCGGUGUGGGAUGGGCCCGCGGCCUAUCAGCUUGUUGGUGGGGUGAUGGCCUACCAAGGCGACGACGGGUAGCCGGCCUGAGAGGGUGACCGGCCACACUGGGACUGAGAUACGGCCCAGACGCCUACGGGAGGCAGCAGUGGGGAAUAUUGCACAAUGGGCGCAAGCCUGAUGCAGCGACGCCGCGUGAGGGAUGACGGCCUUCGGGUUGUAAACCUCUUUCAGUAGGGACGAAGCGAAAGUGACGGUACCCAAAGAAGAAGCACCGGCUAACUACGUGCCAGCCGCCGCAGUAA
rnacentral:rRNA from 1 species